UUUACAGGAAAACACUGGGUGCAGAAGGUUCAGGCCUUCGCUGCGUCUUGCCCUGGAGACCGCAACAUCAUAUUGACAUUGAAAUCUGAAGUUGGGUAGUGCCUUUUCUUAGGGGCCUGGCAGCGCCACGGGGACAAGGGUUCCUUACCCUUUCUGGACCUCGGUUUCCUCAUCUGUGAAAGGAAUAGUGUGAGCGCCUUCAGCAAAUUACAGAGAAGUGAGGGGGCAGGGGGCAGCGCGGACCCUGCACAGACGUUCCAGCCAUGUGCCAGUAGAGCCCUUGGGAGGGUGUCCGUUGGUCUACAAAAGGCACGUGUCUCUUCUUGAACAUCACUUCCUUCUCUAAGUGACCUCAUUGUGAUGGAUACAGCCUGAAAAGGGUUCAUCUUACAAUUCAUUAUUAAAACAAAGUGUAGUCCUUGCAAGGUUUGGAAGGAAGCAAAGCAGAUAGCUGCCCGGAAGAACUGGAGCGUGCUCUUACCGGAAAGCAGGCCAUCUUGUGAUGCCCGUGAAGAGAUGUUUGUGGAUUAUAGGAGCUGUGGGGGAAAUAAUGAGAGAGUGGCUUUAGUUGGCACCAGAAAUAAAGGCCUGGGGGUAGUUGGAAGUCUAUACUGCAGGGGUUGCCCGAGUCUGACUUAAGGGGUUAUGUAAGUGAUACAGGCUUUUGGUACCCACGCUUAUCCUCAAGCUAAACAGCUGUUUCUGGCACAAGGUGAAGAAUCACACAGAUUGAUUUCAGAAUUACUUGGGAUGUGUCAAUCCUGAGAAUGUGAAAUAAAACUCAGAAA